GACAGAGGUGCCAAGCGUUAGGCGGAAUCACUGGGCUUAAAGCGUGUGUAGGCGGAUCGUUAAGUGUCUUGUGAAAUCCCACGGCUCACCCGUGGAACUGCUGGGCAUACUGGCGAUCUUGGGCCAACUAGGGGCAGCCGGAACAAGCGGUGGAGCGGUGAAAUGCGUAGAUAUCGCUUGGAACGCCGAAGGUGAAAACAGGCUGCUGGGGUUGUGCCGACGCUGAGACACGAAAGCCAGGGGAGCAAACGGG
rnacentral:rRNA from 1 species